rnacentral:rRNA from 1 species
UACGUAGGUGGCGAGCGUUGUCCGGAAUUACUGGGUGUAAAGCGCGCGUAGGCGGGAGGCCAAGUCCGCUGUGAAAUCGCCCGGCUCAACUGGGCGCGGUCGGUGGAAACUGGUCACCUGGAGGACGGUAGAGGCGAGUGGGAUUCCCGGUGUAGUGGUGAAAUGCGUAGAGAUCGGGAGGAACACCAGUGGCGAAGGCGGCUCGCUGGGCCGGCCCUGACGCUGAGGCGCGAAGGCGUGGGGAGCAAACAGG